UACGAAGGUCCCAAGCGUUGUUCGGAAUCACUGGGCGUAAAGGGAGCGUAGGCGGCGUGGUAAGUCAGAUGUGAAAUCCCGGGGCUCAACCCCGGAACUGCAUCCGAUACUGCCGUGCUUGAGGGUUGGAGAGGUAGCUGGAAUUAUCGGUGUAGCAGUGAAAUGCGUGGAUAUCGAUAGGAACACUCGUGGCGAAGGCGAGCUACUGGACAACAUCUGACGCUGAGGCUCGAAGGCUAGGGGAGCAAAAGGG
rnacentral:rRNA from 2 species